GAUGAACGCUGGCGGCGUGCCUAAUACAUGCAAGUCGAGCGAACAGAUAAGGAGCUUGCUCCUUUGACGUUAGCGGCGGACGGGUGAGUAACACGUGGGUAACCUACCUAUAAGACUGGAAUAACUCCGGGAAACCGGGGCUAAUGCCGGAUAACAUUUAGAACCGCAUGGUUCUAAAGUGAAAGAUGGUUUUGCUAUCACUUAUAGAUGGACCCGCGCCGUAUUAGCUAGUUGGUAAGGUAACGGCUUACCAAGGCAACGAUACGUAGCCGACCUGAGAGGGUGAUCGGCCACACUGGAACUGAGACACGGUCCAGACUCCUACGGGAGGCAGCAGUAUGGAAUCUUCCGCAAUGGGCGAAAGCCUGACGGAGCAACGCCGCGUGAGUGAUGAAGGUCUUCGGAUCGUAAAACUCUGUUAUUAGGGAAGAACAAAUGUGUAAGUAACUGUGCACGUCUUGACGGUACCUAAUCAGAAAGCCACGGCUAACUACGUG
rnacentral:rRNA from 1 species